rnacentral:lncRNA from 13 species
CAUGACUUGAGAUGCAGAAGCCUUUUAGUCGCUGGAAACGGUUGCCUCUAAAUGGCACUCCCAAGGUCAGGAAGGAAACAUGACAUCACCAAGGAGCAGCUGUGUCUGAGGUAGUGAAAAGAAGCUUCAAGAAGCUCCUAUGUUUCAAGCCAUGCUGAUAGAGCCUGUUGCCACACUGUUGGAUUUCUGCCCAUCGAAUAGACAGGAUUCCACCAUGUUGGCCAGCCUGGUCUUGAUCUCCUGACCUCAGGUGAUCCACCCACCUUGGCCUCCCAAAGUGCUGGGAUUACAGACAUGAGCCACCGCACCCGGCCAGUCUCUGACUGGUUUUGAAGCCUCCUGAAAAGAAGUAGGUGUUACAAAUUUAGUUUGGUUGAUAAAUGUGCAUUGAAACU